rnacentral:rRNA from 1 species
GGCAGAGGGGGCAAGCGUUGCUCGGAAUCACUGGGCGUAAAGGGCGCGUAGGCGGGCUGGCAAGUCGGUCGUGAAAUCCUUCGGCUCAACCGAAGAACGUCGGCCGAUACUGCCGUUCUUGAGGGAUGCAGAGGAGAUUGGAAUUCCCGGUGUAGCGGUGAAAUGUGUAGAGAUCGGGAGGAACACCGGUGGCGAAGGCGGGUCUCUGGGCAUCUCCUGACGCUGAGGCGCGAAAGCGUGGGGAGCAAACGGG